UACAGAGGGUGCAAGCGUUAAUCGGAAUUACUGGGCGUAAAGCGCACGCAGGCGGUUGGUUAAGUCAGAUGUGAAAGCCCCGGGCUCAACCUGGGAAUUGCAUUUGAAACUGGCCAACUAGAGUGUGUGAGAGGGGGGUAGAAUUCCAAGUGUAGCGGUGAAAUGCGUAGAGAUUUGGAGGAAUACCAGUGGCGAAGGCGGCCCCCUGGCACAACACUGACGCUCAGGUGCGAAAGCGUGGGGAGCAAACAGG
rnacentral:rRNA from 1 species